rnacentral:rRNA from 1 species
CCCUUAGAUGUCCUGGGCCGCACGCGCGUUACACUGAUGCAUUCAACGAGCUUAUAACCUUGGCCGAGAGGCCUGGGCAAUCUUGUUAACGUGCAUCGUGAUAGGGAUAGAUUAUUGAAAUUAUUAAUCUUGAACGAGGAAUUCCUAGUAAACGCAGAUCAUCAAUCUGCAUUGAUUACGUCCCUGCCCUUUGUACACACCGCCCGUCGCACCUACCGAUUGGAUGGUCCGGUGAAGCCUCGGGAUUGUGGUUCUUGCCACUUUAUUGUGGCGUGACCGCGAGAACUUGUCUAAACCUUAUCAUCUAGAGGAAGGUGAAGUCGUAACA